UCCCUGGUGGUCCAGUGGCUAAGACUCCAUGCUCCCAAUGCAGGGGGCCUGGGUUCAAUCCCUGGCCAGGGAA
rnacentral:tRNA from 1 species